UCCGGUUUGUCACCGGCAGUCUUGCAUGAGUCCCCGGCCGAACCGCUGGCAACAUGCAACGGGGGUUGCGCUCGUUGCGGGACUUAACCCAACAUCUCACGACACGAGCUGACGACAGCCAUGCAGCACCUGUGCUAGCCCCUUACGGACACGGGCUUUCACCCGCUUUAACUAGCAUGUCAAACCCAGGUAAGGUUCUUCGCGUUGCAUCGAAUUAAGCCACAUGCUCCGCCGCUUGUGCAGGCCCCCGUCAAUUUCUUUGAGUUUUAAUCUUGCGACCGUACUUCCCAGGCGGGGCACUUAAUGCGUUAGCUUCGGCACGGAGGGAGUCGACACCCCCCACACCUAGUGCCCAUCGUUUACGGCGUGGACUAC
rnacentral:misc_RNA from 1 species